rnacentral:rRNA from 1 species
UACGUAGGUGGCGAGCGUUGUCCGGAUUUACUGGGCGUAAAGAGCGCGCAGGCGGUCGUACAAGUCGCGUGUGAAAGCCCCCGGCUCAACUGGGGAGGGUCACGCGAUACUGUUCGACUCGAAGGCAGGAGAGGGAAGUGGAAUUCCCGGUGUAGUGGUGAAAUGCGUAGAUAUCGGGAGGAACACCAGUGGCGAAGGCGACUUCCUGGCCUGUUCUUGACGCUGAGGCGCGAAGGCUAGGGUAGCAAACGGG